GAAACGCGAUAGGUAAUGUGAAUUGCAGAAUUCCGUGAAUCAUCGAAUCUUUGAACGCACCUUGCGCUCUAUGGCAAUCCGUAGAGCAUGCCUGUUUGAGUGCCAUGAAAUCUCCCACCCCAAGCGGUUUUUAAAUGAAACGGCUUGGCGGAUGGGGUCUGGAUGGGUGCCUCUGCCUGCGCUACCUAGCACAGGCUCGCCCGAAAUGCAUGAGCGCCUUGAGACACUUUGCAUCCGCCUCUCUGUUUGGGAGGAGGCGGCCAAGCAGUGUUUUUCUCCUGGCAUGGCAUGAUACGUCAUUUGCUAUGUCACCUAAAGGAGGAAUGUUUGGUUGUGUCUGCGUGUGCUUCAAACUUGCCUCUGUGGCACAUCCCAAUUUCACUUCAGGUCUCAAAUCAGGUAGGAUCACCCGCUGAACUUAAGC
rnacentral:misc_RNA from 1 species